rnacentral:rRNA from 1 species
UACGUAGGGUGCGAGCGUUGUCCGGAAUUAUUGGGCGUAAAGAGCUCGUAGGCGGUGUGUCGCGUCGGUCGUGAAAACUUGGGGCUUAACCCUGAGCUUGCGGUCGAUACGGGCAUCACUGGAGUUCGGCAGGGGAGACUGGAAUUCCUGGUGUAGCGGUGAAAUGCGCAGAUAUCAGGAGGAACACCGGUGGCGAAGGCGGGUCUCUGGGCCGUAACUGACGCUGAGGAGCGAAAGCGUGGGGAGCGAACAGG